rnacentral:lncRNA from 1 species
CCUUUCCUAAUAGCUUAAGCUUUUGCAGUCUAAUGCUAAGUUAACAAGGAAAACCCUGGAUCUCGUCUCACAUUAAAUCUCAAAAUAUGUGAGACUUAGAGAAGGUAUCAAUGUUUUCGUCCCUUGAAGUAUUCCUGCAACUACUGCAAUAAGAAAUUCGUUCACUUACAACCAUUGGAUGAGCACCAGAACGGCCAUAAGCAUAAUUCAGGAAGGCAAAGUCAACAUGCAGUGAGAGUGUCACAGAUGCUCAAGAGUAAAGGACAUGGCUCUAGCUGCUUCAAUUGGUGAGAGUAAUCUAAGUAUGGUUUGGUUGUCCUCUUGCUUUUAUACGAAUAAAAAAAAAGUGAUAGAUCUUUGAUGACAGUAACAGUGAAAGAGAAAAGAGGGGGAAAAGUAGUGCACUGAAUCUUGCUACGACAAUUAGACCAAACCUCCUUUUCUACUUUUUACAAUGCAGUAUCAGUCCAGAGAUCCUUGGAAUCAAAACAAAUCCAAGACCUUCAGGCCUUAAAAGGUCUUCUCCGUGACAGUCAA